GGUUAUUGUAGAGUUGCCCAACUAGAGAGAAUCGGCAUUCUUGAAGUUUCUCAGCUGAUAAAUCUUCAUCAAGAAUAGGCAUAACAUUCUCAUACAUCAUCUUACCUAAUUUAUUGCAGAGAUGGGCAAGACGGUCCACAGCUUCUCCUUCCCCUUCCAUUACUGCUAGGGAUUAGCCGCGGGAUGGAAGAUUAGAAGGGGAGUCACACCUGAUCCAUACGUGCCGUCAGUUCUCCCUUCUUCGGUGAGUGGAUCUUGGAACAACAACGAAAUCCCCGUCAGUGACGAGGACUGUGGCCCUGGGUUCACGGUUUUGGAUGAAACAGUAAUAUGAAACCAGGGUGUG
rnacentral:lncRNA from 1 species